rnacentral:rRNA from 1 species
GACGAACGCUGGCGGCGUGCUUAACACAUGCAAGUCGAACGGAAAGGCCCUGCUUUUGUGGGGUGCUCGAGUGGCGAACGGGUGAGUAACACGUGAGUAACCUGCCCUUGACUUUGGGAUAACUUCAGGAAACUGGGGCUAAUACCGGAUAGGAGCUCCUGCUGCAUGGUGGGGGUUGGAAAGUUUCGGCGGUUGGGGAUGGACUCGCGGCUUAUCAGCUAGUUGGUGGGGUAGUGGCUUACCAAGGGUUUGACGGGUAGCCGGCCUGAGAGGGUGACCGGCCACAUUGGGACUGAGAUACGGCCCAGACUCCUACGGGAGGCAGCAGUGGAGAAUAUUGCACAAUGGGCGGAAGCCUGAUGCAGCAACGCCGCGUGCGGGAUGACGGCCUUCGGGUUGUAAACCGCUUUCGCCUGUGACGAAGCGUGAGUGACGGUAAUGGGUAAAGAAGCACCGGCUAACUACGUG